rnacentral:rRNA from 1 species
GACGAACGCUGGCGGCGUGCUUAACACAUGCAAGUCGUACGGUAAGGCCCUUUCGGGGGUACACGAGUGGCGAACGGGUGAGUAACACGUGAGUAACCUGCCCACAACUUUGGGAUAACGCUAGGAAACUGGUGCUAAUACUGGAUAUGUGCUCCUGCUGCAUGGUGGGGGUUGGAAAGCUCCGGCGGUUGUGGAUGGACUCGCGGCCUAUCAGCUUGUUGGUGGGGUAGUGGCCUACCAAGGCGGCGACGGGUAGCCGGCCUGAGAGGGUGACCGGCCACAGUGGGACUGAGAUACGGCCCAGACUCCUACGGGAGGGAGCGGUGGGGAAUAUUGCACAAUGGGCGCAAGCCUGAUGCAGCAACGCCGCGGGCGGGAUGACGGCCUUCGGGUUGUAAACCGCUUUCAGCAGGGACGAAGCUUUUUGUGACGGUACCUGCAGAAGAAGCACCGGCUAACUACGUG